rnacentral:rRNA from 1 species
AGAGUUUGAUCCUGGCUCAGGAUGAACGCUGGCGGCGUGCCUUAAGCAUGCAAGUCAAGGGGACCUAGCAAUAGGUAAACCGGCGGACGGGUGAGUAAUGCAUGGGAAUCUACCUAAAAGUGGGGGAUAGCUCUCCGAAAGGAGGGGUAAUACCGCAUGUGAUCGCAAGAUCAAAGCCGCAAGGCGCUUUUAGAUGAGCCUGUGUCCUAUCAGCUUGUUGGUGGGGUAAUGGCCUACCAAGGCAACGACGGGUAGCUGGUCUGAGAGGAUGGACAGCCACAAUGGCACUGAGACACGGGCCAUACACCUACGGGUGGCGGCAACUGGGAAUAUUCGGCAAUGGGCGAAAGCCUGACCGAGCGACGCCGCGUGGAGGAUUGAAGGCCUUCGGGUCGUAAACUCCUUUUACUAGGGAAGAUUAUGACGGUACCUAGCGAAUAAGCACCUGCUAAUCACGUGCCAGAAGCCUCGGUAAGACGUGAGGUGCAAGCGUUAUCCGGAUUCAUUGGGCGUAAAGUGUUGCGUAGGCUGAUUUGCGCAUUUUGCUUAAAAUGCUAUGGCUUAACCAUAGUUUUGGGCAAAAUAUGGCAAAUCUUGAAGGAUGGAGAGGGUACUGGAACUUAACAUGUAGCAGUGAAAUGCGUUGAUAUGUUAAGGAACACCAAAGGCGUAGGCAGGUACCUGGUCAUCUCUUGACGCUGAGGCACGAAAGCUUGGGGAGCGAAGCAGAUUAGAGACCUGCGUAGUCCAAGCCGUAAACGAUGGAUGCUAGAUACCCGAAGCUUGCUUUGGGUGUCGUAAGGUAACCCGUUAAGCAUCCCGCCUGGGGAGUACGAACGCAAGUUUAAAACUCAAAGGAAUUGACGGGGAGGCGCACAAGCAGUGGAGCAUGUGGUUUAAUUCGAGACAAAGCGAAAAACCUCACCAGGAUUUGACAUUGAUCUGCAAGCGCACGGAAACGUGUGACCUUAGAGGGUGAUCAACAGAUGCUGCAUGGCUGUCGUAAGUUCGUGGCGUGAGCUGUACCCUUAAGUGGGACAACGAACGAAACCCGCACCGUAUGUUAAAUAUUCAUGCGGAACAGCCCUAUUUUUAGGGAGGAAGGGGCGGAUGACGUCAAGUCCGCACGGCUCUUACAUCCUGGGCUACACACAUCCUACAAUGGCGAAUAACAACGAGUUGCAAACUGGUAACAGUAAGCUAACCUCUAAAAUUUCGCCUCAGUUCAGAUUGGGGUCUGCAAUUCGACCCCAUGAAGUCGGAAUUGCUAGUAAUCGCGAAUCAGAAGGUCGCGGUGAAUACGUUCUCGCCUCUUGUACACACCGCCCGUCAAGGCAGCAAAGUUGGGGGUACCCGAAUAGCCCUACAGGGUUAGAAGGUAAAACCAGCGAUGAAGCUUAAGUCGUAACAAGGUA